rnacentral:tRNA from 1 species
GUGGGCAUAGCUCAAUUGGUUAGAGCGUCUGACUGUGGCUCAGAAGGUUGGCGGUUCAAUCCCGCUUGCCCACC